rnacentral:rRNA from 1 species
UACGAAGGGGGCUAGCGUUGUUCGGAAUUACUGGGCGUAAAGGGCGCGUAGGCGGCCUUUCAAGUCAGGCGUGAAAAUCCUGGGCUUAACCUAGGGACUGCGCUUGAUACUGGAAGGCUAGAAUUCGGGAGAGGAUGGCGGAAUUCCCAGUGUAGAGGUGAAAUUCGUAGAUAUUGGGAAGAACACCGGUAGCGAAGGCGGCCAUCUGGACCGACAUUGACGCUGAGGCGCGAAAGCGUGGGGAGCAAACAGG